rnacentral:rRNA from 1 species
UACAGAGGUCCCGAGCGUUUGUUCGGAUUCACUGGGCGUAAAGGGUGCGUAGGUGGUGAGGUAAGUCGGAUGUGAAAUCUCGGAGCUCAACUCCGAAACUGCAUUGGAAACUACCUCGCUCGAGGGUUGGAGGGGGGACGUGGAAUACUUGGUGUAGCAGUGAAAUGCGUAGAUAUCAAGUGGAACACCAGUGGCGAAGGCGGGUCUCUGGGCCGAUACUGACGCUGAGGAGCGAAAGCGUGGGGAGCGAACAGG